AACCUACUCCCUCCGUUCCAAAUUACUCGUCGUAGAAAUGGAUGUAUCUAGAACUAAAAUACAUCUAGAUACAUCCAUACUUCCGACAAGUAAUUCGGAACGGAGGGAGUAUAAG
rfam:Triticum aestivum genome assembly, contig: Triticum_aestivum_CS42_TGACv1_scaffold_222062_3B